rnacentral:rRNA from 1 species
GAUGAACGCUGGCGGUAUGCUUAACACAUGCGAGUCGAACGGACUCUUCGGAGUUAGUGGCGGACGGGUGAGUAACGCGUGAGAAUCUGGCUUUGGGUUCGGGACAACCACUGGAAACGGUGGCUAAUACCGGAUGUGCCGAGAGGUAAAAGAGAAAUUGCCUGAAGAUGAGCUCGCGUCUGAUUAGCUAGUUGGUGAGGUAAAGGCUCACCAAGGCAGCGAUCAGUAGCUGGUCUGAGAGGAUGACCAGCCACACUGGGACUGAGACACGGCCCAGACUCCUACGGGAGGCAGCAGUGGGGAAUUUUCCGCAAUGGGCGAAAGCCUGACGGAGCAAUACCGCGUGGGGGAAGAAGGCUCUUGGGUUGUAAACCUCUUUUCUUAGGGAAGAACAAAAUGACGGUACCUAAGGAAUCAGCAUCGGCUAACUCCGUG